GACGACCGGCCACACUGGGACUGAGACACGGCCCAGACUCCUACGGGAGGCAGCAGUGGGGAAUUUUCCGCAAUGGGCGAAAGCCUGACGGAGCAAUACCGCGUGAGGGAGGAAGGCUCUUGGGUCGUAAACCUCUUUUCUCAAGGAAGAAUCAAAUGACGGUACUUGAGGAAUCAGCAUCGGCUAACUCCGUGCCAGCAGCCGCGGUAAUACGGAGGAUGCAAGCGUUAUCCGGAAUGAUUGGGCGUAAAGCGUCCGCAGGUGGCACUUCAAGUCUGCUGUCAAAGCCCCCAGCUUAACUGGGAAGAGGCGGUGGAAACUGGUAAGCUAGAGAGCAAUAGGGGUAGAGGGAAUUCCCGGUGUAGCGGUGAAAUGCGUAGAGAUCGGGAAGAACACCAGUGGCGAAAGCGCUCUACUAGGUUGCGACUGACACUGAGGGACGAAAGCUAGGGGAGCGAAUGGGAUUAGUACCCGAU
rnacentral:rRNA from 1 species